UGAUACAAACGGUUGCUUGUUGCCAUGGUAACUCUGUGGCAGACAAACUUCUCAAACCUGUUCCCUUCCCUGUUGCUAAUAGCAUAACCAGGACUCAAAUGGAAUAAACAGCAGCAGCUUGCAAACUUUAUUAUUUGACAUUUGACAGAAGUCAUGUUAGCUGAGGCUCGGGGUCCUGACCCCUUGGUUUCAGGAGCGCCGUGGAAGCCAUCUACCGCUGGGAAGGAUAUCAAAAGGCAACACGAUGGAAAGCACCAGCGACAAGCAUCUAGCCAAAGAAGCUGCUUCUUAGGGUUGGAAAUGAAGUCAGAGCUCGUCUGGGAGGACUGGGACCUGCAACGAGAGUUCACAAAAACAUUAGUGUUAAAGAAUAUUCAUAGCAAGCUGCAGAAGCUACAUGUCAGGCCUCCAGUGUCCAAGUUUUUCACCAUCUCGAUUGCCCAGACCGUUGUUCUCAGCCCAGGGACCUCUUUCUCCAUGCCAGUCACCUUUAGACCACUCCAGAGGUGUGAAUAUGAAGACAGUAUUGAGUUUGAAGGUAAAGAUGGCAGCUUUCAAGUAUGCCUCCGUGCCACCAUUCCCUGUCAUGCCCUGGAGGUGCCAGAUUCUGUUCUGCUGCCGCUCUGUGCUGUUCAACACUCCUCACAUACUACUUUCCAUCUCAGAAAUGUCAGUAAACUCCAGACAUGCUUCCAGUGGGAGUGUGCGCCACCAUUCCAGCUAAGGCCUGAGCAAGGUCUAUUGAAGCCUGGCCAGGAGUGUCAUAUCACAGUGGUCUUCCAGCCACAAGAGGCACUGGUGUACCAGCAACAAGCCUUCUGCAGGUUUGGAGAAGACAUGGACAAGGCCGAGAGCUGCUGUGCUGUGCUCUUGGAAGGACUAGCCAAGUACCCAUGUCUUCAGCUGAGAAGUCCAGGUGCCAAGGAUAAAAAACAAGACUGUGGACCAGUGCUGCACUUUGGCUCUGUGGUAGUUGGCCAAAAUUUGCAGAAACACUUUGACAUCUUCAACCCUUCCCCUGUAACUGCGUCUUUUUCUCUUUCCCGACUGUCUAAUUUGGUGCCUUUGUUGGGGUCAGAAUUCAGCUGUGAUGUGACCAAGGGUAAGGUGGCACCUGGUGGAUCAUUACGGGUUAUGGUCACCUAUACGCCUGCUGUGGUGGAUACUGUCUCUAUUGAGUACUUAUCUCUAAAAUGCAGAGGGGCACUCAAGGAAACUCUUCUUAAACUUUCUGGAAACUGUGUGGGUCCCAAAGUUUCAUUGUCCUCCUCUGUGGUGGACUUUGGCUGUGUUGAUGAAGGAGGAGCAGUUGUACAGACAGUGGAACUGAUUAAUUCUUCACCCGCUGAGGCUAUCUACCAAUGGGACAUUGACUGCAAUGGGCACAGUGUGUUCAACAUCCAGCCAGCAAGUGGCACUGUGCGCCCGCAUAGCCAUACCACACUAAAGGCAGUCUAUAGGCCCACACAGCCUAUUGCACAUCACAGAAGAGUGGCGUGUCUCAUUCUGCACAGGGACCCCAUGUUCCUUGACCUUAUUGGUACGUGUCACUCAGAGCUGCAGCAACCAGCCAUACUGAAACCUGAGCACCUGGUUCUGUACAAGCUUCAGUGGUACCGCAGACAGGACCUGGUAGACACUCCCAGUAUCAGUGAGCAGGGGGACAGACAGGGAGUGAUCGGUCCUCUAGAGGAGUUACACCAGAGACCAGAAAGUGCUGGUGUUGCAUCCAGAACUCCCAUGGAGGAAUAUUACCAAUCCUGCUUGGGGUGGUUUGACCCACUCUCCUCCAGUUCUGCUUUAUCAUCUCCACAUGUGUCUGUGGUGCCCGGUGAACUACUGUUUAAUCACAAAAUGUCCUCCUCAUUGUCAACUUCAUCCACAUCCUCUCAUUCUGUCUCCAUCACCAACCAUACCAAGGGGAAGCUGAGCCUGGUGUGGACUGCUGCCCAAGACUCUCCAUUCUCUGUAUCUCCCUUCUCAUGUGACCUGGCUCCACUGAAGUCCACCUCAUUCAGAGUGAACUACGACCCCAAGCAGCUCAAUACCCUACACGCAGCGCAGCUCGAGUGCUUUGCAUACUAUAAAGAUAAUCACCACAUGGAGGAGCGACUGCUGUGUCCACCCUGGUGUGUGACCGUCAGAGUCAUAGGCCACUCCUUUCAACCAGGCAAAGACCACUUCAUCCCAUGUUGCUCCCUGAAGCCCUCUCGAGUGGUGUUCCCAGCACUCAGUGUUCUGUCAUAUCGGAUGGUGCUCCUUCAGAAUAGUGGAGACCUGCCCCUCACAUUCUGCUUGGACCACAGCUCAAACCCUUCUUUGGCAGAAUCUGUGUCUGUAGUGCCGAGCUGUGGUUUGAUCCAGCCCGGCAACCACCAAAUCCUCACCCUCAGAACAACUUCCACAGAAGACAGUCCCAAGCAGGGCUUCAGUGUACACCUUCAGCUCAAUGCAGCUGAACACACAAAGGAGCUGACAGUUGUCAGUGUGUUGGAAAAGCUGUGUGUGUCUCUGGAAGGAGAUGGUAUCUUAUAUUUCCACCCAACAGCGGUGGGCUCACGGACAGAGCGCUCCCACCACAUCAGAAACCUCAGUCAGCUACCUCUACGAUUCCAGUGGAGCAUUCCAGAGCCAGACCAGGAGCUUAUCUUUGUUGAACCAGCUGCUGGUGAACUGCAUCCCAAUGAGAGCUCAGUUCAAUUAUGGUCCUUCAGCCCACUGGCGGAAAAAGCCUACACACUCAAACCCACUCUCACCUUCUGGCCGAUGCAGACACCUGGAUGUAACAAGUCACAACUUACCCUUAAAGUGGUGGGAAUGGGCUCUAAAGGCUUCAUAGAGGCAGAGAAAGCAGUUCUGGAUAUUGGAGAUAUUCUGGUUGGAAGCUAUCGGUCAAUUGAGAUUCCGCUAGUGAACAACAGCCCUUGCCCUGUUUCCUUUUGUCUGUCUGUAGAGCAGAUACAUCUGGAUGAGGAACCUAUUUAUGAGUCUGAGGCUGUGCCAAGUGCCCUACAGCUGGACUGUGAGAGGGGAACCAUCACCUCACACUCCACAAUGCUACUUCGAUCCACUGCCAGACCACACAGACGAGCCCAGUACUUGUGGAUCAUCAGCUACCAGACAUUGAAUGCCAGCGGGUUUGUGUCAUCCCCUCCCCAAGCACUUUGUGAAGUGCAAGCUAAAGGCGUAUUUCCCACCUUAAAGGUGAUUGACGCAUGCGGUGGUGGCAGUGUCGACAAACUUAGCAAGGUGCAUCUCUGGAAGCUCUUCUCAUUGGACAGCCUCAAUGAACAUCUGUUCUCCAACCCCUCUCCUGUAGAACUCACUUAUAAAACCCCCACCAGGCACAGUUUGCAUUCUUCUCCUUCCACCUUCACUAAAACCGUGUUGGAUUUCAACUUCAGUGCUGCCCCCGUGCUUUCAGACCCCUCAACUUUUGUGUUGAUGUUUCACAACCCUGGUUCUAUCCCUGUGGACUGGGCAUUCUUGUUUCCAGAGGACCAACAGAUAGAAUUGGAGUAUUGGGCAGAGACAGGAGAGUUUAGCAGCACAGAGCUGUGCCAAAUGAAGGUUCAGGACAACCAUCUGUUUAACAUUUCUCCUCGUUCUGGAACUUUAGUCCCUGGCCAGCAGAGGGCAGUACACUUCAGCUACAGCCAUAACUUUCCUGGGACAAAUCGAUUUCCUGUCGUAUUCAAACUUUCUUAUGGCAGAGAACUCUUGGUCUGUGUGCAGAUAAACUUUCAGGGGGUGACGGUGGAGAGAGACAGACCGUAUGUCCACUUUGCCUCCAAGCGACAUGUCUUCACUCCUGUAACUAUUGGUGGCUGCACUCCUCCGAGGCAGGUGUGCGAACUACACAAUGGUGGUGCAGUGCCAGUCCGUUAUGAGGUGGACCUGGCUGUUUUGGCUCAGCUACAGGUGGACAACUUUAACCAUCCGGUGCUGUGUUGCCUCAGCCCAAAGGGAGAGGUUCCACCUGGGACGACUGCUAUGCUGGAAUGGAUCUUUUCUCCACUAGAGGCUAAGAUGUACCACAUGGAUAUUCCUAUUCAUGUUCAGGAUGGUGACUCCACUCUGGUGAGGUUUGAAGGAUGUGGAUUAAAUUCUCCUGCACUGGGUUCCAAAGACUCCUUCAAUGAUAGUGAUACUGAGGCAUUGGAACCCUGCGUCCAGAGGCUGCCCUUCCCAGGACAGGUAGUAUUCCUGUCUGAGGACACCGUCUCUCUAGGCAACAUCCCUGUGUGCUCACGAUCUUCAAGAAUCUUCUUCCUGACUAAUGUGUCCCACACAGACACUGUCGUCUAUACAUGGGACAAGAGCAAUCAGCAGGUGGUGCAGAUCCAUCCAGAGCGAGGGAGUCUAUGUCCAGGGGAAAGUGCCCUGUGUGUCCUUACCUUCACUUCUACUGACUACCCCACUUGCUAUCAACUAGAUAUCAUCUGUCAGGUUAUUCAGGAAGCUGCACUGACUCGGUAUCAUGAUGCUUUGCAGUGUUGGGAGGAAAAAAAACAGAGACAGCAAGAUGAAUUCACUAUCACAGACAAAAAUCUUACAGAAAGCCAAUUAGUUCUGACAGAUGAGGAACUUGCUGCAGCUCCAGUAAGAAAAGGACCUCCACUCAGGAAAUAUAAGACUCUUCCUCCUAUCUGUACCAGUGGUAGCUGUGAACCAGUAGCCACUGUAUGUACAAAGGUAACAAGAGCUGAGCAUCGGGCACAACGGGAAAAAGCAACAGUAUGGAGGCGCCCUAAACCCCCCCAACCUGCUAAGCUGCACCUGGGUGUUACAGCACACUCCUAUGGACUUCUGGAGUACAUUAAGUACUUCCCUGACCAGUUCAAUAAGCACUAUAGAUGCCUCCAGUCAGUCAUGUCCCAACAACCUGAAAUCACUUUUUCAAGCUCGUCCGUCCCUGCCCGUUUGUCUUCACAACAUGACCUUGAGAGAGACAUCACCACGCACGUACUCAUCUCUCUGCUCAGUGGCAUACUUGAUGAUCCUGCCUUCACGCAGUCUCUGAUGACUUCCGCAUCCAAGCCCAUCACCUACCACCCACCUUUUCCAUCCUCUUCACCCCAGCAUCAGAUUCUGUUGAGUGAGACAAUGGCUGAGCAGAGGGAACAGCACAAAGAAGUGGACAGUGAAGGGACUGCAGGAUGUUCGGGAAACAGGCCUCAAACACAGGAAACACUGUUCAGCGCGCAUGUGCCUGCCGACAUAAGUGAGAAUAUUUUACUGAAUACCCUCCAGAACCUGAUGAUGGAAGCUGUCAGAGGAGAGCUUGUCCUCACAGCACACCCACGCUUUGUUAUCCUGCCACCUGUUUCUACCAGCAGAUUAACAGUCUGGGUGUUCCAUUUGAACCAGAGGGAAGUCCAAAGCUGUGGCUGAGGAGGAGGGAGAAGACCUGCAAAACAGAGAGGAACCAGCAGCGUUUUAAUCCUCACCGUCUACCCAACUUCCAAGAGUCUCUGUAGGAAGUACGGGCUAAAGACUUUGGACAUGAAGUUGAGGGGGAAGCGUUCCAGGUGGAUGCAGGCGUGCAACACCUCUAUCAGACAGCGAGGCUGGAACUGGGAAAACCUUGCUGACAA